GNUAGUUUGCAUCAGCUCUAACCAACAGCCCUUUUGUAUAGGAAAAAGGCAAAGCAUAGAUAAGAGAGGAACUUUCCAGGAUUCGAACUCAGGAUCUCUUGUUUGGUGAAACCCAUGUCAUUUUCUUCUUAGUAUUAGCUCAAAGAAUGAGGUAUCAGAGAGAAUUGUGGUAUAUGCAUGUAAAAAUUGGAUCUUUUUCUAUAGCCAUGUUGUUGUUGUUGCUCCUGGAAUUUCUUCUGUUUCUCCUGUUGCUACUGUUGGGCUGUUUUAUGAACCAAGCAGCAACAGAUCAAUGUAAUAACAGGGAGAAUUUAAGGCUGUGAUGAUAACAUCAGGAGGCUGUCUUCCCUUGUCCUAAGCACCGUUUUCUGAUACACUCACGAAAAUGCCUCGAUUGAAACAUACAUGCCCUGGAGAGGUUGCAGCCAUGGCGGGGUAACCUGGAGAGAUGAUGCGCAUCUAUACAUAUGUUUUUUGAUGGAAAAUUUCGAACCCGGGUCUGUACUGCGGCAGGGUACUAUUCUUCCACUAGACCACUUGUCCUUCUUUACAUGAUGCACAUGUAUAUUGUUUGGAUACGAGUCGGUUUUCUCCGUGACACAUUCGGCCAUUUACUUUACAAUGAGAUUUAUAUGUUUGGGAGGUUCAAAAGGAUUAGAGAACUAUAACAUGAAGCAGAAGGCCAAAUGAAAAUGGCAAAAAUCUCAUUAGUUCAAGUCUGAGGCUGCUGGAUUCAGAGAGUUGUGGGGAGUUGUUUGAGUGGUUGCCAGCAGCCAAUAAUCACUCAAUAUUUCCCAAUUUCGGACCACUCUUUAGCAAAAUAAGUUCGACGAGGCAGUGAAGAUUUUCACUCUUUACUCAUCAGAUGGUUGAGCUUUGCUAUAUCUUGGCGUGUCAGCUUUUGGUUGGUCUUAUGAGAUAUGGCAGCUAUUUGGUUUCCGUGUCUCACAAAGGCUUCUCAUUCAGCUUGCAGCCAUGGCAGAGUUUAGCUUAUGCCUGAGAAGAGGCUAAUCUGAGCCUCCCAAGUAUCUGUAUGCUUUCAAAGAUGGAGUCUUUUUUAUGGAAGUCGAGAAAGGUUGACAUUUUCUAAGGGUGGUUAGUCUCUUUCUCUGAAGUUCAGUAUAGCCAAUGAAUUUUCCAGUACUUUUGUUACAAAGAUAAAGAGUAACAGCCCUUUCAUCAACUAAUGCCAAUUAUGUUCUUGAUGAUGAUGACGGCGACGACGAUAGCCAUGGUUAUGGCAAACAAACAACAACAAACCCAGUGUACGCAUAUCUUAUCCCUUACCUGGUGAAGGUAGAUAGGCAUGGUUAUGGCAAUAAGAGAAAAUACAUAUUCUGCCCCCUAUUGUCCAGGAAAACCUGAAUCCUUAACCCUGAACUUUGUGAAUGAAGCUAUGAUGAUAUUCUCCCAGAAGCUUGAAAAUCAGAUUUUUGAGCUGAUUCGUAUCUUGGCUAGGCAAAGGCAGGGAAUUUAUGAGGUAAGUUCUUAUGUGCUUCUCACAAAGGUAUCUGCUUUUUGCAGCCCUGUCGGAUUUGGCCUUCUUUUCUGAUAGCAGUAGUAAAUACACCCUCCGUUCCAAUUUAUGUGAACUGAAAAUGUCCAAAUUGCUAUAGAAAAGUUUCCAUCUUUCCAAAGAGGCAGUGAUGAUAUUGCUAUCCUGAGCUGAAAUUGGAGGCAUGGAGAAAACCGACUCGUAUCUUGGCGGGGCAAACCAGGAUCAUGCAACUGAUUCAUUUUGCAGCCAUGACAUUGUCGUCUUCUCUUUGCCCCAUUUUACACAGAUCUGAGCCUCAA